UUGAAACCAGUACUUAUGUUAUGUUACAGCCGUAGUAUAAAUCCCAGUUCCCAAGUCCAUAAAAAGUAGUAAUUUAUUUCAUUUUUCAGUGUGUGCAUUGUGGUAUUGAUUCAAAGAACUGUAUAGUCGGCGUUGAAGCAGAAUGAACAUGCAGCUCGCCCCUCUGUUAUUAGUGAUUUGUGCCGUGGGCUCUUUGUGCGAGGUUAUCGAACCAACUACACGACAUAACCAUACAGAUGACUGCGCAGACAAAGCUCCAAUUAUUGUGCUGCCAGUGAUUAUAAAACUGUUCAGAUAUCCUAAAAUAAAGACUAACAAUACAAAUAUGACUGAUCUUACAUAAUAUUAAUAAAUUGAACCAUUUUUGGAAAAACUAACAAAAAUA